rnacentral:rRNA from 1 species
GACGAACGCUGGCGGCGUGCUUAACACAUGCAAGUCGAACGGAAAGGCCCUGCUUUUGUGGGGUGCUCGAGUGGCGAACGGGUGAGUAACACGUGAGUAACCUGCCCUUGACUUUGGGAUAACUUCAGGAAACUGGGGCUAAUACCGGAUAGGAGCUCCUGCUGCAUGGUGGGGGUUGGAAGGUUUCGGCGGUUGGGGUUGGACUCGCGGCUUAUCAGCUUGUUGGUGGGGUAGUGGCUUACCAAGGCAUUGACGGGUAGCCGGCCUGAGGGGGUGACCGGCCACAUUGGGACUGAGAUACGGCCCAGACUCCUACGGGAGGCAGCGGUGGGGAAUAUUGCACAAUGGGCGGAAGCCUGAUGCAGCAACGCCGCGUGCGGGAUGACGGCCUUCGGGUUGUAAACCGCUUUCGCCUGUGACGAAGCGUGAGUGACGGUAAUGGGUAAAGAAGCACCGGCUAACUACGUG